rnacentral:rRNA from 1 species
UACAGAGGGUGCGAGCGUUGUCCGGAAUCACUGGGCGUAAAGGGCGCGUAGGUGGCUUGGUAAGCGUGUGGUGAAAGCUCGGGGCUCAACCCCGAGUCUGCCGUGCGAACUGCCGAGCUCGAGCAUAGUAGAGGCAGAUGGAAUUCCGGGUGUAGCGGUGGAAUGCGUAGAGAUCCGGAAGAACACCGGUGGCGAAGGCGGUCUGCUGGGCUAUAGCUGACACUGAGGCGCGACAGCGUGGGGAGCAAACAGG